CUUCACCGACCCCAGCCACAGCGGCCGAUCCCGGUUCUGCCCGUAGGUGGCCAGCAACGCCUGCGCCUC
rnacentral:antisense_RNA from 1 species